GGUGAAUAAGUCAUUUGGGUUUGCUUCUGACCCUCAGGAGUAUUUUUGUCUUACCAGUAAACUUUUGAUGAUUUUUCUGAAGUUGGGAUAGAACUCUGACUUCAUCCUGAAUGUUCUAAUAGCCACACUAGGAGAUUUUGUGCACCAUAAAGCACGGCCAGUUUCUUCACAAGAUACAUCUUGCCUGACUUCUGCUUGGGUCCUGGCCGUGUUAGAUCAUAGAAAAUCAGAUCUGGAAACCAUACCUCAAACAACUUAGUGGUG
rnacentral:lncRNA from 1 species